CUACGCUGCGAUAAGCCGUGGGGAGCUGCGAAGAAGCUUUGAUCCACGGAUUUCCGAAUGGGGAAACCCACCUUCGAUAGCCGGAACUCCAAGACCUUGUGUUUUGGGGUUCGACCAGAAAUGGAAGAAAUCAGACCGCGAGGUUUUGGAUUUCCGGUUAUCAAGAGAAGGUAUGAGACUUCCGAAUAAAAUAGGAGGUUUUAAGCAAACCCAGGGAACUGAAACAUCUAAGUACCUGGAGGAAAGGACAUCAAUCGAGACUCCGUUAGUAGUGGCGAGCGAACGCGGAUCAGGCCAGUGAUACAUCAAAGACAAUCGGAACCUGUCAGGAAAGCAGGGCCUCAGAGGGUGAUAGCCCCGUACGAGUAAUGCGAUGAUGUAUCCACGAGUAAGGCGGGACACGUGUAAUCCUGUCUGAACACGGGGGGACCACCCUCCAAGCCUAAGUACUCCUCAGCGACCGAUAGU
rnacentral:rRNA from 1 species